rnacentral:rRNA from 1 species
GACGAACCGUGCGAACGUUGUUCGGAAUCACUGGGCUUAAAGGGCGCGUAGGCGGGCUCGCAAGUCCGGGGUGAAAGCCCCCAGCUCAACUGGGGAAGUGCCUUGGAUACUGCGGGCCUCGAGGGGGGUAGGGGCGUGCGGAACUUCCGGUGGAGCGGUGAAAUGCGUAGAUAUCGGAAGGAACACCGGUGGCGAAAGCGGCGCGCUGGACCCCUUCUGACGCUGAGGCGCGAAAGCCAGGGGAGCAAACGGG